AUCGCUGUGGGCUAAUUGGUAAGCCACAAUGGGAUGUAGGUUCGAGUCCUGCCGGCGAUA
rnacentral:tRNA from 1 species